UUAUAAGAGACAGCAGUCGCCGCGGUAACACAGAGGGUGCGAGCGUUAAUCGGAUUUACUGGGCGUAAAGCGUGCGUAGGCGGCUUCUUAAGUCGGAUGUGAAAUCCCUGAGCUUAACUUAGGAAUUGCAUUCGAUACUGGGAAGCUAGAGUAUGGGAGAGGAUGGUAGAAUUCCAGGUGUAGCGGUGAAAUGCGUAGAGAUCUGGAGGAAUACCGAUGGCGAAGGCAGCCAUCUGGCCUAAUACUGACGCUGAGGUACGAAAGCAUGGGGAGCAAACAGGAUUAGAUACCCGCGUAGUCCCUGUCUCUUAUAC
rnacentral:rRNA from 1 species